CCUACGGGGGGCAGCAGUGAGGAAUAUUGGUCAAUGGACGAGAGUCUGAACCAGCCAAGUAGCGUGAAGGAUGACUGCCCUAUGGGUUGUAAACUUCUUUUAUAUGGGAAUAAAAUGUUCCACGUGUGGGAUUUUGUAUGUACCCUAUGAAUAAGGAUCGGCUAACUCCGUGCCAGCAGCCGCGGUAAUACGGAGGAUCCGAGCGUUAUCCGGAUUUAUUGGGUUUAAAGGGAGCGUAGGUGGAUUGUUAAGUCAGUUGUGAAAGUUUGCGGCUCAACCGUAAAAUUGCAGUUGAAACUGGCAGUCUUGAGUACAGUAGAGGUGGGCGGAAUUCGUGGUGUAGCGGUGAAAUGCUUAGAUAUCACGAAGAACUCCGAUUGCGAAGGCAGUUCACUGGACUGUAACUGACACUGAGGCUCGAAAGUGUGGGUAUCAAACAGGAUUAGAUACCCUUGUAGUC
rnacentral:rRNA from 1 species